rnacentral:rRNA from 1 species
AGAGUUUGAUCAUGGCUCAGGAUGAACGCUGGCGGCGUGCUUAACACAUGCAAGUCGAACGAACCUUCGGGUUAGUGGCGGACGGGUGAGUAACGCGUGAGAAUCUGCCCUCAGGAGGGGGAUAACGGUUGGAAACGACCGCUAAUACCCCAUAUGCCUACUGGUGAAAUGAAUUUCGCCUGAGGAUGAGCUCGCGUCUGAUUAGCUAGUUGGUGAGGUAAUGGCUCACCAAGGCUUCGAUCAGUAGCUGGUCUGAGAGGAUGAUCAGCCACACUGGGACUGAGACACGGCCCAGACUCCUACGGGAGGCAGCAGUGGGGAAUUUUCCGCAAUGGGCGAAAGCCUGACGGAGCAACGCCGCGUGAGGGACGAAGGCCUCUGGGCUGUAAACCUCUUUUCUCAAGGAAGAAGAUAUGACGGUACUUGAGGAAUAAGCCACGGCUAAUUCCGUGCCAGCAGCCGCGGUAAUACGGGAGUGGCAAGCGUUAUCCGGAAUUAUUGGGCGUAAAGCGUCCGCAGGCGGCUUUUCAAGUCUGCUGUUAAAGCGUGGAGCUUAACUCCAUCAUGGCAGUGGAAACUGAAAGGCUUGAGUAUGGUAGGGGCAGAGGGAAUUCCCGGUGUAGCGGUGAAAUGCGUAGAUAUCGGGAAGAACACCAGUGGCGAAGGCGCUCUGCUGGGCCAUUACUGACGCUCAUGGACGAAAGCCAGGGGAGCGAAAGGGAUUAGAUACCCCUGUAGUCCUGGCCGUAAACGAUGAACACUAGGUGUC